rnacentral:rRNA from 1 species
UACGUAGGGGGCCAGCGUUGUCCGGAUUUAUUGGGCGUAAAGAGCGUGUAGGCGGCCAUGUAGGUCCGGUGUGAAAACUCGAGGCUUAACCUCGAGAUGUCAUCGGAAACCAUUUGGCUAGAGUCCGGAAGAGGAGAGUGGAAUUCCUGGUGUAGCGGUGAAAUGCGCAGAUAUCAGGAGGAACACCAGCGGCGAAGGCGGCGCUCUGGGCCGGAACUGACGCUGAGGAGCGAAAGCGUGGGUAGCAAACAGG